rnacentral:pre_miRNA from 1 species
AGUGGGAUUGCUGGUUCAUAUGGUAUUUCUAGCUUUUUAAGGAAGCGCCAUAUUGUUUUCCAAAGUGGUUGUACCAUUUUACAUUCCCACCAGCAGU